GUCGACCACUGCUCUUCCACUUGCAGUCUUCCAUCGCCCUCGCCCCUCGCCCAGGCACAGCCGCACAGCAAGCAUAGCCGCCACCGCCAGUCGCCACUGCUCAGCUGGCGUGCCCCCAAAUUCUGUGACGGCGUGACUCAUCUUCCUCCUCUCCUCUCUGCUAGGUUGCACGUGCAGACCACGAACGGAUGCACUGCCCCCAAGGCCCCAAUCCAAUGAUCCUGGUGGGCGUGGCUCUAAGAAGAGCAGCACCGCGACGUAAGGGAGCUAGAAUUUGUGGCUGACACUUGAAUGGAUUGUCCCUCUCUGAGGUUACUGGACCCCAAACCAGACUCCUCCGAAGACAGGGGCUUCUUGCUGAUUAUCCAGUAGAUCUCGGCUACAACAGUGUGGAAGGCCUUCUCCACAGUUCAGAAUAUGCUUUUAGUGAGGGUGGUCGUGUACUUGUGUUUUUGUGAUAUUUAUAAACUUUGUUGUAUUGUGAUAUUUUCAUAUUGAGAUAUUUUCAUAUUGAUAUGGUUACAGAUCUAUAUAGCCAGUUCGUAGCCACCAUGAAUCAGCUCGGUGGCCCCCAGGUUGCCACGCCAAAGAAAAUUAGGGAGCUGAUGAAGGUGAACGGCCUGAUAAACGACGAAGUGAAAAGCCAUCUUCAGGUUCGACAUGCCCCAUGCCUACUAUCACUCUCGAUUUGAAGAAGAGUCUCAAGAUUCUGCAGGUGAGCUAUGUAAUUGACCCAAAAGACACUUCAAGCGGGCAGGAAAGUCUAAGGCCCUUACUAAGUACUUCCAAGUAAGUAGAGCAAUCACCAUCACACGGAUUUAUUCAAGAUUUUUUUGUGUUAAGCCAAUUGUUCGUUUUCAUGUAAUUGUUGUCCACUAAUAUUUUAUUGAAUAAUUUGUGUGCCGUCGCAACGCACGGUCAUUGUACUAGUAGAAUUGAAUGCUCCAUUUGUAGUUUCUGUGAUAUUACAGUAGUGCAGUCUAAAAUACUGAAACAUUGUACACUGUAAUACCCUGAAAGGCUGGGUCAAUCAAUUUUGACUCCUCUUUACUUGGGCAUGUGUUUAUUCAAAAAUUCUUAGUAGCUGCGGUCUGAUUUGGACUCUAUAUUCAUGAUUUGACUUACAAAUCUUUGUGCACAUAAGUGUGAAUUGGUUUCUCCACACACAUAUAGUGACACAAAGGUGUGGAGCAAGAAAGAGGGUUAUUGCCCCAUUUUAGGUGACCAAUAUGUUUCCCUAAUCAAAAUGCGAUCAGUAUAUGGCUGAUGCUUACAUGAUGUCAGUUGCAUGGCCGUACAAGAAAGUAAGUCUAUAUCUUAUCUUGUUUAUGUUUAGAUUUAUAUGAGCCAUCAACUUAAUGAUGAUUAACCUUGAUUGCACCAGCUGAAUUUGGUGCAUAAGGCUGCAACACCGUCUAGUGGAGGGUGUUCUGGACAAAGAAAGCUUGUACCUUAAAACAGGAGGAUACAAGAAGCUGGAGUGGUUGUCUGAAGGCUUUUGAACUGCUUGAAGCAUUAGUGUAGCUUUGGUGCUUUUGUGACUGAUCAGCUCUGGAGCAGCUAGAGUGAUGUAGUUGUGGGCUUUUGAACAAUAGCUGGAGUGAUAUGAAACAUUAGUGAUGUAGUUGUGGGCUUUUGAACUGCUUCAAGCUGGAGUGAUGUCGUUGUGGUGCUUUUGUGACUGAUCAUCUCUGGAGCUUUUGUGAAUGAUCUAGCUAGCUAUUUGUAAAUGAUCUAGUUAUGAAUGAUAUUAUAAUUAUGAUGCUUUUG